GAUGAACGCUGGCGGCGUGCCUAAUACAUGCAAGUCGAGCGAACAGAUGAGGAGCUUGCUCCUCUGACGUUAGCGGCGGACGGGGGAGUAACACGUGGAUAACCUACCUAUAAGACUGGGAUAACUUCGGGAAACCGGAGCUAAUACCGGAUAAUAUAUUGAACCGCAUGGUUGAAUAGUGAAAGACGGUUUUGCUGUCACUUAGAGAUGGAUUCGCGCCGCAUUAGCUAGUUGGUAAGGUAACGGCUUACCAAGGCAACGAUGCGUAGCCGACCUGAGAGGGUGAUCGGCCACACUGGAACUGAGACACGGUCCAGACUCCUACGGGAGGCAGCAGUAGGGAAUCUUCCGCAAUGGGCGAAAGCUUGACGGAGCAACGCCGCGUGAGUGAUGAAGGUCUUCGGAUCGUAAAACUCUGUUAUUAGGGAAGAACAAAUGUGUAAGUAACUAUGCACGUCUUGACGGUACCUAAUCAGAAAGCCACGGCUAACUACGUG
rnacentral:rRNA from 1 species